CGCGUAGGUGGGAUAGUAAGUUAGAGGUGAAAACUUGCAGCUUAACUGUAAGCCUGCCUUUAAUACUGCUGUUCUUGAGUGCGAAAGAGGAAAGUGGAAUUCUUGGUGUAGCGGUGAAAUGCGUAGAUAUCAAGAAGAACACCGGUAGCGUAGGCGACUUUCUGGUUCGCAACUGACACUGAGGCGCGAAAGCGUGGGGAGCAAACA
rnacentral:rRNA from 1 species